rnacentral:ncRNA from 1 species
GUGUAUUUGGAAAUAUCCCUAAUACAGGAUCACUUGGAUCCGUCGGCGAUGACGAGCGCGAAAGAAUGCGAAAAGUCCUCACGGAAUGCUCUAAUUAUGAGAUAAUCUCAUGGAUACUCCCUGGACUUAAGCAUAUCAUUAAGGGAAGGAAAAGAAACUAACUAGGAUUCCGUUAGUAGUGGCGAAUGAACACGGAAGAGCUCCAAUGGUAAAGCCUAAGUGCUGUUGUAAUGUAGCCUCCGAAAACAUUCUGGAAAGGAUGACCACAGUGGGUGAUAGUCCCAGAGGAGGAUGUAAAGAAUAGAGUAGUGCUGCUUGGUAGUGCAGUAUGAAGAGGAGGUAGAAACUUCUAAAGCUAAAUACAGACGGAUACCGAUAGAGAAGAAGUAGUGCGAACGAAAGUUGAAAAGAUCUCAUCUAGAGAAUGAAAAGUGAAAGUAUUAGGGCGUAAGCUGAUGACAUCAGACCCGUAUGAAACACGGACCAAGGAGACUUUGAGUAUAGCGAGGCGAAGGAUGGAAUCCCCCCC